AGUUUCUUGGAGCUUUGAUGACAAUAGAAGGCAGGUGAUCCACAGAUGCUGAAGGGAGCUUUGCCAGAGGCUAGAUCUGGCCAUGAGAUGCUUGGGUAGGUUUUCCCAGCUUCUGCACAGAGGGAGUUCUCCCUCCUCCCCACCCUCCUCCUCAGCUCUGCUUCCACAAAAGCCCAAGCAGGGUGACUCCAGGCCGAGGGAGAAGGGACUGCGCAGGGCAAGGUCCAGGUCUACCUCAGCUCCUGCUCAAAGCUGAAUAAUCGGGAGCCCUUCAAGAAGGAUUUCUGAAAAGCCAUCAAGAGAGUCCUCACAAGAAAGAACACUGAUUUUGACGAACACCCAAAAUAAUGUGAGAUCAGGCACCAUGCAUUAUGCAUGAGGUCUGAUUUAACAUGAACAUUAUUUCUUGUGUACGAGACCAUAUGCCUCCGUGCUGUCUCUGCAGCCUAAUAAAAGCCAGACCCACCCUGGUCAGGCUCAGCAGG